rnacentral:rRNA from 1 species
UCCGUAGGGUGCGAGCGUUGUCCGGACUUAUUGGGCGUAAAGGGCUCGUAGGCGGUUUGUCGCGUCGGGAGUGAAAUCCACUGGCUUAACUGGUGGCUUGCUUUCGAUACGGGCAGACUGGAGGUAUGCAGGGGAGAACGGAAUUCCUGGUGUAGCGGUGAAAUGCGCAGAUAUCAGGAGGAACACCGGUGGCGAAGGCGGUUCUCUGGGCAUGUCCUGACGCUGAGGAGCGAAAGCCAGGGGAGCAAACGGG